GAUGAACGCUGGCGGCGUGCUUAACACAUGCAAGUCGAACGAGAAGUGAAGACGGAAACCUUCGGGCGGAAGGCUUUAUUUCGAGUGGCGGACGGGUGAGUAACGCGUGGGUAACCUGCCUCAUACAGGGGGAUAACAGUUGGAAACGACUGUUAAUACCGCAUAAGACCACAGCACCGCAUGGUGCGGGGGUAAAAACUCCGGUGGUAUGAGAUGGACCCGCGUUCGAUUAGCCAGUUGGCGGGGUAACGGCCCACCAAAGCGACGAUCGAUAGCCGAUCUGAGAGGAUGACCGGCCACAUUGGGACUGAGACACGGCCCAAACUCCUACGGGAGGCAGCAGUGGGGAAUAUUGCACAAUGGGGGAAACCCUGAUGCAGCGACGCCGCGUGAGUGAAGAAGUAUUUCGGUAUGUAAAGCUCUAUCAGCAGGGAAGAAAAUGACGGUACCUGAGUAAGAAGCCCCGGCCAACUACGUG
rnacentral:rRNA from 1 species